CCUCGGAACGGGCGUUCCGGGGCUUAUUCUAGGUAGUUUGAAGCGGUCCGUUUCGAAAUCAGGCAUGCUUUGGAAGUAUUGUUUGUUUCGGUCCGGCCCGGUUUGACCUUCCCCCACUCGGAAACUUUCUGGCCCGGAUUGAAACCCCACCCCCUCCCCUCUGGAUCGAAUCCUUCACGACUCCACAGCGCGGGAAGAGCUAGCGGCGCGGGGGAGAGCUGGCGGCGCGCGAGGCGACGAGGUGCCGGCACGAGGUGAUGGCAUGGCGGCGCGGCGCACCCCGACGGCGAUCCUCUCCGCCGUCUUCUCACCGGUGAUGUUGAGGCCGGACCUCGUGCGUGUGGUGUCCCUAUCGUGCCUGGUGUGAUCUGCAGUCGUCUAAGAUCCGAACAAGAAAUUGACGGAUCACCAGGAUUUAGUGACAGAUCAGGAUCCACUCGAUCCAGACCUGGAAUGAAAGCAGCUGUGGAAAAAAUCCACUCCUACCGAACGAGGCCUUAAGGAUCCCAUCAGCCAUCACCUGGUUUUACAUUCUCCGUCACGCGCUGAAAGGGACUCGCCCUUUGGUUACUUUGCAGCUUGUUUAUGCCAUGGCCAUGUAUGUCGUCACUAUGGUUUUACUUUGACCACGAAUACUUGUACGAACUAUAUGUACUUUGUGAGAAUUCAAAGAUGUGGGGUCUGGUUUGGAAGAUGUGUAAAUUCCUUCUAUGCUAUUGAAAGCUAUACAUAUCCCUUCUAUGAUCAGUGUCA